UUUAAUCGAAUUCAUAGAAAAAUUAGCAAAAUUUAUAACACUAAAUCUCAAUAAAUUUAUCAUUAAAUAUAUUUUGAUAAUAUGUUUGUAUUGUAUUAAA
rnacentral:miRNA from 1 species